GAUGAACGCUAGCGGCAGGCCUAAUACAUGCAAGUCGAACGAUACUUUCCAGCUUGCUGGAGAGGAAAGUGGCGCACGGGUGCGUAACGCGUAUGCAACCUACCUUAAUCAGGGGGAUAGCCCGAAGAAAUUCGGAUUAACACCGCAUAAAAUCACAGUAUAGCAUUAUACAAUGAUCAAAUAUUUAUAGGAUUAAGAUGGGCAUGCGUGACAUUAGUUAGUUGGCGGGGUAACGGCCCACCAAGACCACGAUGUCUAGGGGAUCGGAGAGGAUGACCCCCCACACUGGUACUGAGACACGGACCAGACUCCUACGGGAGGCAGCAGUAAGGAAUAUUGGUCAAUGGAGGCAACUCUGAACCAGCCAUGCCGCGUGCAGGAAGACAGCCCUCUGGGUCGUAAACUGCUUUUAUUCGGGAAUAAACCUAUCUACGUGUAGAUAGCUGAAUGUACCGAAGGAAUAAGGAUCGGCUAACUCCGUGCCAGCAGCAGCCGCAG
rnacentral:rRNA from 1 species